UGGGGAAUAUUGCACAAUGGGCGCAAGCCUGAUGCAGCCAUGCCGCGUGUAUGAAGAAGGCCUUCGGGUUGUAAAGUACUUUCAGCGGGGAGGAAGGCGAUGCGGUUAAUAACCGUGUCGAUUGACGUUACCCGCAGAAGAAGCACCGGCUAACUCCGUGCCAGCAGCCGCGGUAAUACGGAGGGUGCAAGCGUUAAUCGGAAUUACUGGGCGUAAAGCGCACGCAGGCGGUCUGUCAAGUCGGAUGUGAAAUCCCCGGGCUCAACCUGGGAACUGCAUCCGAAACUGGCAGGCUUGAGUCUUGUAGAUGGGGGUAGAAUUCCAGGUGUAGCGGUGAAAUGCGUAGAGAUCUGGAUGAAUACCGGUGGCGAAGGCGGCCCCCUGGACAAAGACUGACGCUCAGGUGCGAAAGCGUGGGGAGCAAACA
rnacentral:rRNA from 1 species